rnacentral:rRNA from 1 species
GAUGAACGCUGGCGGCGUGCCUAACACAUGCAAGUCGAGCGGACAGACGCGGAGCUUGCUGCUCGGAUGUUAGCCGCGCACGUGAGAGACACGCGUGUAUCCCCUCCUUAUAUGUCUGGGAUCACUAGGGAAAUCCGGAUCUUAUACCGUAUAAUAUUCUGAACCGCGUGGUGCAAAGGUAAGUGACGGUCUUGCUGGCACUUCUCGAUGCAUCCGCGCUUCAUUAGCUAGUUGGUAAGGUAACGGCUUUCCACGGCGACGAUGCGUAGCCGACGUGUGAGGGUGAUCGGCCACACGGGAGGGGGAACAGGGACCAGACUCCUACGGGAGGGAGCAGACGGGAAUCUUAGGCAAUGGGCGAAAGCCUGACGGAGCAGCGCGGCGUGUGAGAUGAAGGUCUUCGGAUCGUAAAGCCCUGUUACUGGGGAAGAACAGAUGUGUAAGUAACCGUGGCGAUCGUGACGGUACCGGAUCAGGAAGCACCGGCUAACUACGUG